UAAGAGGGGGGCAAGCGUUGUUCGGAAUUAUUGGGCGUAAAGGGCGCGUAGGCGGUGCGGUAAGUCACCUGUGAAACCUCUAGGCUCAACCUGGGAAUUGCAUUCGAUACUGGAUAGCUAGAGUUCGGCAGAGGGAAGCGGAAUUUCGGGUGUAGCGGUGAAAUGCGUAGAUAUCCGAAGGAACAUCAGUGGCGAAAGCGGCUUCCUGGACCAGAACUGACGAUCAGGCACGAAAGCGUGGGGAGCAAACAGG
rnacentral:rRNA from 1 species